CCUACGGGUGGCAGCAGUGGGGAAUAUUGGGCAAUGGGCGCAAGCCUGACCCAGCAACGCCGCGUGAAGGAAGAAGGCUUUCGGGUUGUAAACUUCUUUUAAGAGGGAAGAGAAGAAGACGGUACCUCUUGAUUAAGCUACGGCUAACUACGUGCCAGCAGCCGCGGCAAUACGUAGGUGGCAAGCGUUGUCCGGAUUUACUGGGUGUAAAGGGCGUGUAGCCGGGCUGAUAAGUCAGAUGUGAAAUUCCGGGGCUCAACCCUGGAUCUGCGAUUGAAACUGGUGGUCUUGAGUAUCGGAGAGGCAGGCGGAAUUCGUGGUGUAGCGGUGAAAUGCGUAGAUAUUAGGAGGAACACCAGUGGCGAAGGCGGCCUGCUGGACGACAACUGACGGUGAGGCGCGAAAGCGUGGGGAGCAAACAGGAUUAGAUACCCGAGUAGUC
rnacentral:rRNA from 1 species